rnacentral:snRNA from 1 species
GUGCUCGCUUUGGCAGCACAUAUACUAAAAUCAGAACCACACAAAGAAGAUCGGCAUGACCCCUGCGCAAGGAUGACAUGCAAAUUUGUCAUUUGUGAAGAGUUCCAUGUUUUG